rnacentral:rRNA from 1 species
UACGUAGGGGCAAGCGUUGUCCGGACUUACUGGGACGGUAAAGCGUGUGCAUGGCGGGGUGGCUAAGUGGUGCCCGUUGUGAAAGCUCCGCGCCUUAUCGCGGAGAGGUCGCGGUAGACAGGCUGCCUGGAGGCUCGGAGAGGUCAGUGGAAUUCUCGGUGUAGUGGUGAAAUGCGUAGAUAUCGAGAAGGAACACCAGUGGCGCGAAGCGGCUGACUGGCCGGAGACCUGACGCUGGAGAACA